rnacentral:tRNA from 1 species
GCGGCGGUGAUGGAAGGGUAGACAUCGCGGACUUAAAAUCCGCUGCCGAAUAAGCGUAUGGGUUCGAAUCCCAUUCGCCGCACCA